AUUGAACGCUGGCGGCAGGCUUAACACAUGCAAGUCGAGCGGGGUGAUGGUGCUUGCACUAUCACUUAGCGGCGGACGGGUGAGUAAUGCUUAGGAAUCUGCCUAUUAGUGGGGGACAACAUCUCGAAAGGGAUGCUAAUACCGCAUACGUCCUACGGGAGAAAGCAGGGGAUCACUUGUGACCUUGCGCUAAUAGAUGAGCCUAAGUCGGAUUAGCUAGUUGGUGGGGUAAAGGCCUACCGAGGCGACGAUCUGUAGCGGGUCUGAGAGGAUGAGCCGCCACACUGGGACUGUGACACGGCCCAGACUCCUACGGGAGGCAGCAGUGGGGAAUAUCGGACAAUGGGGGGAACCCUGAUCCAGCCAUGCCGCGUGUGUGAAGAAGGCCUUAUGGUUGUAAAGCACUUUAAGCGAGGAGGAGGCUCUUUUGGUUAAUACCCAAGAUGAGUGGACGUUACUCGCAGAAUAAGCACCGGCUAACUCUGCGCCAGCCGCCGCCGUAA
rnacentral:rRNA from 1 species